UUGAAUUUUAAAACUCAGUGUCACUUUGUCGUCCACGUGGCAGUCACCGACGCGCAUUCUUCCUUUCCCCUUUGUUUCUCUCUUACUCCUUGCAGUGCCCGUCCAUUUUCUCUAGAACCUUCCCCAUGCUCUGCUCGGCCCAGACCGGAAAAUCCGGUCUGAACUGGCUCGACCGCCUCCGGUCCAACAAGGGCAUCCCCACCGGCGACGAACCCAACCUCGAUUCCUUCCUCCUCACGGCCCAUCCGCAAUCCCCUCAGACCCGCCCCAAUGACCCGCCCCGGAACCCUCCUUCCGAGGCCCGCGACGAGCCCAUGCCCAUGAGCACCAUCCUCGCUGAGCUCUUCUGCAUGGGCGCCACCCUCUCCAAAACCAACAAAAAAUGCCCCCGGAAACAGACAAACCCUAAAAUCUUCCUCGCUUCCUCCGCCACCACCACCAGCACAAACUCCAAACCCUCCGUCCCCGCCGCCUUGUCUGCCGCUCCCAGCGGCGACCCGGCGGUGCCGGAAGUGGAAGAGGAGGCCGCCGCGGACCGCGGUGAGGACGAGGAAGAGGGGAACGAAUUGAAGGGGUUCACGAAGAGCGAAGUGACGGUGAUCGACACGAGUAGCCCCGGGUGGAAGGUGGACAAGUUCGUGUUCAGGAAGAACAACGUUUGGAAAGUCAGAGAGAAGAAAACCAAGAACAAGUUUCUCGCCAAGAGGAAAAGUAACUCCACUCUCGCGCCUCGUGACGUUCAUGUCAAUGCAAUUGAGAACUCCAAGUAAGACCGGACAAUGUAAUCAACAUGAGAGGAGAGAAGCCUGUAAAGACACAAAAGGUGAUCUAAAGCCUUAUACCAAAAGGAGGUUUUCCAAAAAAUCCAGAAAGGAAAAUACAUCUGCCAUUUUAAUAACAGACACCUCUUUGUAAAAGAGCACAGGAAAAAAAAGAAAGUUUUAACAAACCAAGAGUCAGAAAAUAAUUCAAGUCUUUACAGGUCAUUUAACUUGAAAUUUUAAGUUAGCUACAAGUUAAUGCAGGUUUCGCCUUUGUGCAAUUUGAUGGUGGCACUACUGGUCUUCCAUUGGCAUUUAUCAAUUAAAAACUACGUCCUCUUGGAAAGAGAUUGGUUUUGGAGUUCUAAACAUGCGCAUUGUAGCGUCAAAACAUUUGCCUUUGUAAAUUUCGGUUCCAUUUUUCCUAAAUUGAAACAUUUUUUUCUUCAAUAUAUUUGCAGCCGUGAGUUGCUUUUCUUUCCUUUGUUAA